CUUGACCGACACGGCUAAGGUUGGUUUGUGAAAUAUAUGAUUCCACGCUGGGAAUCCUAGUUUGUGGAUGUGGCUGUCUGUCUCUUACGGAGAUAAUUUCCAGUCUUUCAUACGAAGUUUUGAGUUUAUGUGUACCAUACACAAUACAUGGCACGCCUCGUCUCUUAUGGACAACUUGACGGCAGUGGCUAAAGAGGAAGGGAAAUAUUAAUGCUGUGCCAGAUGAGUCCAAAUGUUACAAGUGCAACAUUAUACGGUGCCAAUCAAGUGUGUGAGAGAGAGAGAUUAUUUAGUGGAUAAAUGUGUAAGGGACUUGGGGGUGAGUGUAGAAGAUGUAAUAAUUUUGUAAAUAGUCGUAAAAUAAUUAUAAAUAGUAAUAAAAUGGUUAGAGUUUUUAAUAA